GUUAAUUGAGCCACACCCAUUCUGGUGCUCCAUAAGAGGGCCAGAGUUCUACACGGGAGGGAUGCUUGAGUUGUGCAAGUGACUCGACUGUUGUGGUAUUGUUUGUUUUAAGUAAGAAUAUGUUUUUCACCAACAACAUUGUGCAUGAAGUUGAUUUAAAUUGAUACCGGUGAGACACGUUAUCGAAAGAAGAUGUUAAAGACUUUUUGAAGUAAAGAGGAGCAUCUCAUCUGGACCUGAUGUCUAUCAUGGAUAUUUUACUGCAGUUCUGUGAGUAUCCCAACUCAACCAUGAAGUUGAACUGCGAACUGUAAGUCAAUAGUUUCUCAUUACUCUUGGGCACAUUGCUGUAUUUUGGCUUCCUGGUGAGUUAACCCGUUAGCUGAAGGUUGAUCUGAGUAGUAAGGAUGUUUUAUUGGUUCAUGGGUUACUUAGGUGUUUGGUUUAGGUUGGUUUUAAUGAUUUGUUAAAAUGGUUACAGGCUCCAAGUUAUUGUUGUAAGCUGGAGUAAUGGGUUGGCUUCUGAUGUCUUCAGUCUUCUUUCCAGCUACUCUCCUGAGCUCUGAAUCUUCUUCACAUGAGUGUUUCUUUACUGAUGAGGGUGUGGUCUGAGUGAGCAGAGGUACAUACUGGGAUACAGAGCUGUCUGAAGUCUACAGGUCUGUAGACACGCCCCCUCAGGGGAAACUGAGUGUUUGAGAAACUGUCAUGACGUCGGUUACAUGGACUAGAAUGUUCUUUAAGAUGGAGACGGGGAUUCAGAAGGAGAAACACCAGGGGGAGAUGAGGGGGGCUCCUCAUCUCAACGAUUAUAACACAACUUCAGUCUGACACAGAGAACCAUGGAACACAUUCAACAGUCCCCUCCAGGCAUUGUGACUCCUCAGGAACAGUUUCAUUUCCAAGAAGGUCCUAUUUGGGGCUAUUCCAAAGAUGGAUCCUGCUCCUCAAGAGCCACCCCCCUCCACUGGGUGGUCUUCUGAACAGAUGACCUCCUUCCUGUCCUCAGGCUGACUAAAGCUGCACAGUUUGCAUCUGUGAAGGCCCCUAAUUCUGGAAACCACUGGACUACAAACACAUGACUUCAGAGACGUUGAAUCAACCUGAGACACAUUUUGGAGACGCCAAGCAUGAUCCAUCACCAAUGUGGGACGCCACUGAAGAAUGGUGUACAUAAUUUAUGUCUCUGGAGACAACGAUUGUUCUGUUUUGGGUGUCCUGGCAGGAGUACCGGGGUUUGAUGAUGGAAUGUUAUUUGGCAGGAGGUUUUUACCUUGCAUGUUGGGCCGUUUAUGGCUCAUUGGUGUGUGUGUGUGUGGGUUUGACAUGAGGUGGAUGAUUUUUUUUUUUAGCAUCGCUAGGGUUGUGUGCCCCCCCAACUCCCACCUGGCAGGGGGUUCUACGUGUGUUUGGUUCCAUCUGGCAGGGGGUUCUACGUGUGUUUGGUUCCAUCUGGCAGGGGGUUCUACGUGUGUUUAGUUCCAUCUGGCAGGGGUUCAACGUGUGUGUCCUGGGUUCUACGUGUGUGUGUCCUGCUUGCUUUGACAGUGAUAAUGUUCUUACGUGGGUCUGUGUGGUUGGCUUGGGGUAUUGGAAAGGUCAAGUAAAUCAUACCUGAUGGACGGCCACAUGUUUACCUGAGGCCUCCAGCGGACAUGAAGAGCCCGGAGCAACACUCCGAGCGAUAUCCAACACACUGGGAAGGAAGGAGUGUCCAAAUCAAGUGUCAAAGGAUGCAAGCGGCGUGUUCAGAUCAGUUACUUCAAACUAGGACUACACCAAUGAGGAUCAAUGGAGGAUGGACACCUAAAGGAUCAAUGGAGGAUGGACAUCAAAAGGCAUUCCACAAGCAGAGUCUGAAGUUGGAAAGGGACCUCAAUGGAUUUUCAAGAUGACCUUCAGACCUGUAGUGAGGCGGCUCUUCCUACCUGGCUGGAUUGAUGGAGAGCCCUAUGGAUCUUGUCUUGCUCUCAGUUGCACGUCUUCUCAGGCUGAACAGUAUUUGUUUCAUACAGGACUAGCUGAACGAUUGGUUCCCUUAAAUCAGAACCAAUCUGGGAACUCCCAACUAGUGCGCUCUUCAAACUGAAGUUGUGGUCUUCAGUUGAGGAGGUAAGGAAACCUUCACUGGGGCUUCAAGGUGUAAAGUGGAGAAUGUUUCAAAGUGUUCCAUGGUACUCUGAUGAAGACUGUUGUUGUGUUCCACUGGCUGAGGGGAAGAACCCUCACAUCUUCCUCUUGGCCUUUCUCCUCUUGAAGGAUAGUCCAGCUCAUGUAACUGAUGUCACGACAGAUUCUCAAACACUUGGUUUCUCCUGAGGUGCGUGUCUAUAGAACUGAAGACUUCAGACGGCACUGUAUCCCAGCAUGCAUCUCUGCUCACUCAGACCACACCCUCAUAAGUAGGAUGCAACACUCUAGCGAUGGAGAUGUAGAGUUUUAUAAGUAAUGAGGGAGCAGAAAAAGGUGGUUAGAACACCAUGGCAUGUCAAGUCUAACUCUUUAAACCAUGAAGAUGGUUGGAUAGUUCAGGAAUUGGGCUUCAUUUUAUUAUGGGAAGUCCUUUAACUCAGAUGCCCACUUCUCACUGGAGCUGUACAUGUGUUGGCUGGCUGGCAUGAUUUGCUGUUGGUGAUGAGGCAGUCAGGGUGAAGUUGCAGGGCUAUGGUAAGCUCUCGGUGAGCUCAAUGUUUAGAUAUGCUCUGUAUGGCUUGUACCCUGAAUAAUCUAGAUAAUUGUUCUGUUUAUUGUAAAAUGUAGACACGGUUUUGUAUUGAAAGAUUCCAUUGUUUUUAGGCAAGGAUUUGAGGUUUAAAGUCGUUGUGGGACGUGCAUGGUAGUUCGGUUCUUCAUACGGUUUUGAGUGGCAUAACUUGUACACACUGGGUGCAUAAUAAUGUAAAGGUACUUUGAAUAGUAGUUAUGACCAACAGCAUCAAACAGAUCGCAUCAAGGUAAGUCUGUUGGCUGUGUUUUAAUGAAGACCACCGCUGGACUUCAGGAUCAUCCUCCGUUCAGCUCAAGGUGAGGCGCUGGUUAUGUUUUUUCUUUGGUUGGUUCCGGCUGGAAUGUUCGGAUUCCAGUCGGACGGUUUGUGCUUCCCGCCGUGGAAGGUUCUGAGUGCGGUCACUUGAUUUAGUCUCAAUGGUUAGCAUAGAACGUUGUAGUCUUGACAACCAUAAGAACCCACCCGGCAGUUAGUUGGAUGCGAGUCCCCUCAGGGAAUCUGGCGGAACGUUCUGGUUUGUGUUUGCGUAACAUAGAGCCGUUGCCAACGGAAACUAUUUUCGGUUUCCAUUGGGAAUUGUUCCCCCUCAUCUUAAACAACUUGAGUUUGAUAUUGAAUACAUACUGACACGUACAUCUUACAAUAUGUUGAUAAUAUCCGAUGGUUGCGCUGUACUUUUAACCGCGUUGACGGGACACUCGCUGCGUACAAAAGAGCGUUCUACUUGCGGGCCCAUUUCUGACCGUCAGUGAAGGCUGAACAUCAUUUCAAGGUGGAAGACAAUUUGGCAUUUCUUCAAGGGAACCCAGCACCUGAAUAUGGCUGAGUAUAUUUGAUUUCAUAUCGAUAAUGCUUAGGGUUCUUUGGUACUUCAGCUUUUGUACGUUCUAAAUAUCUGGUGGCAUUAAUUGCCACAGAAGUUAAACCCUACCAAAUGGAAUGACGCUAAACAACGACUUUGGUGCUGAGUUACCAACUGGAUAAUAUCAAAGCUAAAAUAAUGCCGUCUUUCCUACAUGUUACAGUAGAAGAAACUUGAGAACUGAACAAGGUUAAAAAGGUAACGUGUAGUUUGUCCCAAGGUGUCUGCCUCCUCACCCAGAGCCAGACCUCCACCUCCUCACCCAGAGCCAGACCUCCACCUCCUCACCCAGAGCCAGACCUCCACCUCCUCACCCAGAGCCAGACCUCCUCCUCUUCCACCAGAGCCAGACCUCCACCUCCUGUCAGAAGUCCUCCAGAACUGGUCAGUGCUCUGUCUGAAAGGCGAGGCGGAGAGGCUGGUAACCGGAGGCUUGUGGUGCCAGGAUGGACCGGAGACUGAGGCUGGAGACCAGGGGCCUGCAGCACAGGACCAGGGGACCAGGAAUCCAUGGCUGAAGGAGCUGAUGGAGGAGCCGUGCUGAAGGCCCUGCCUGGUGGAGGAGCUGAUGGAGACCCUGCCUGGGGGAGGAGCUGAUGGAGGCCCUGCCUGCUGGAGGAGCUGAUGGAGGCCCUGCCUGGUGGAGGAGCUGAUGGAGGCCCUGCCUGCUGGAGGAGCCGUGCUGAAGGCCCUGCCUGGUGGAGGAGCUGAUGGAGGCCCUGCCUGGUGGAGGAGCUGAUGGAGGCCCUUCCUGAUGGAGGCCCUGCCUGGUGGAGGAGCUGAUGGAGGCCCUGCCUGGUGAAGGGGCUGAUGGAGGAGGAGCUGGUGGAGGUCCUGCCUGGUGGAGACCCUGCCUGGUAGAGGAUGUCUGUCGUGAGACCAGGACUCGUCCGAGGAGAGUUGAUGGUUGAGCUGAGACGCUGGAGGACGACUAGGAAUCGACCAACAAGGAUUCCUCAUAAAACGUGUUUCUGGAGCGGAGGCGAGCUGGCAGGGGAGCCGUGAAUCUGGAGGAUGACCAUCACUCUACCAACAUGGAUUACGUUGGGGCCAGACUUGUGCUGUUUGUUCCUGACCAGGCCUCUGAGGAGAGCUGAUGGAGGAGCCAAGACUCUGGAGGACGACAUCACUCUACCAACAAGGAUCCACCAUGAAUCUGGAGGACUGACGGAGAAGCUGUACAUCUGGAAGGCAAAUCCUGAGGACAACCAGGACUCUACCAUCAAGGAUUCCUCACACCCCUGAGCUGAACCCCACCUGAUCCUGUUUGGUCGGGGGCAGACACACCUGAGCUGAACCCCACCUGAUCCUGUUUGGUCGGGGACAGACACACCUGAGCUGAACCCCACCUGAUCCUGACACCCUGCUGGUCCCGUCUCCUCAGUUCAUCUGAGCCUCGUCCUCCAGAAGACCUGCUGAGCUCAGCGGUCUGAGGCUGAUGGAUCAAUGACCUCCAGUGGGAGUGAUCUUCUUGACCCCACAUGUACCUGUGUGCUUCCACACGCCUUUCCCUCACUACUUCCUUAACCUCACUACUUCCCUAACUUCACUACUUCCCUAUCCUUCCUCUUCUUCUUCCUUCUCUGUGGUUCGAACCUGUGUCUUCCUGCCCUCAGAGGGUUCAGCGUUAGGGUUGAGAGUCAGGGUUUAGAGUCAGGGACAGAGCUGGUCAGGGAGGACUGGUUUUAAACAAACCUCUUCACUUGCUUUCUGAAUGGUGACAUUUUGAAAUGUUUCAUUUGGGAAUGUUUUCCUCUGCAUUCCUUUAGAAAAACAUGUGUUGAACUUCUGUCAAGUGUUUUUGUUUAUAUAUUAAAAUCCUACAUUGACUGUUUGGUGCGGUUCAUUUAAUUGUCCAUAAACUUGGUUAAUGUCAAGCUAAACUCCUGCAAUACAUUGAAUUUACAUGAUGAAUGUUAUUCAGCAUUGUUCACAUAAUCCAUUUUGUAAAAAUAUAAAAUAUCUAAUGUACAUACUGCCCUCGCAGGCCAUUCUCUGCUACAACACGUUCAAACCAUCAACUCGGUCUAACAUCAAUGUACUAUUAUGGAAGCAUACAUGUUGCAAAAUUCAAAUGGUAAUGCGAUUUGCAAUUCAAUAAGUCAUUACAUUAUGCAAUUGAAUUUGUAAAUGAUGUUCAAAGUGUAUUUUAAUAUGCAAAGUGACAGUGUAAUCAAUAAAAUUAAGUUGUAACCAUAAAAAUAUAACAUUUUGUCAGUUUUUCUGAGUUCCUUGAUUCAAAUUGAAAAGCUAUAGG
ensembl:lncRNA